rnacentral:rRNA from 1 species
AAUCUUGCGCAAUGGAGGGAACGCUGACGCAGCGACGCCGCGUGAGCGAUGAAGGUCUUCGGAUCGUCCCGCUCUGUCCUUGGGGAAGAAGGUCUUCGGACUUGACGGUACCUCAGGAGGAAGCCCUGGCUACUUACGUGCCAGCAGCCGCGGUAAUACGUAGGGGGCAAGCGUUGUCCGGAAUUAUUGGGCGUAAAGGGUGCGUAGGCGGCCUUUUAAGUCAGAUGUGAAAGCCCACGGCUUAACCGUGGGACUGCAUUUGAAACUGGAGGGCUUGAGUAUCGGAGAGGGUAGUGGAAUUCCCAGUGUAGCGGUGGAAUGCGUAGAUAUUGGGAGGAACACCAGUGGCGAAGGCGACUACCUGGACGAAAACUGACGCUGAGGCACGAAAGCGUGGGGAGCGAACA